AAAGAAACCAACAGGGAUUGCCUCAGUAACGGCGAGUGAAGCGGCAACAGCUCAAAUUUGAAAUCUGGCCCCAGGCCCGAGUUGUAAUUUGCAGAGGAUGCUUUUGGUGAGGUGCCUUCCGAGUUCCCUGGAACGGGACGCCAUAGAGGGUGAGAGCCCCGUCUGGUCGGACACCGAGCCUCUGUAAAGCUCCUUCGACGAGUCGAGUAGUUUGGGAAUGCUGCUCUAAAUGGGAGGUAUAUGUCUUCUAAAGCUAAAUACCGGCCAGAGACCGAUAGCGCACAAGUAGAGUGAUCGAAAGAUGAAAAGCACUUUGAAAAGAGAGUUAAAUAGCACGUGAAAUUGUUGAAAGGGAAGCGUUUAUGACCAGACUUGGCCCGGUUGAUCAUCCAGCGUUCUCGCUGGUGCACUCUGCCGGUCCAGGCCAGCAUCAGUUCGUCGCGGGGGACAAAGGCUUCGGGAAUGUGGCUCCUCCGGGAGUGUUAUAGCCCGUUGCGUAAUACCCUGCGGUGGACUGAGGUCCGCGCUUCUGCAAGGAUGCUGGCGUAAUGGUCAUCAACGACCCGUCUUGAAACACGGACCAAGGAGUCGUCUUCGUAUGCGAGUGUUCGGGUGUAAAACCCCUACGCGUAAUGAAAGUGAACGCAGGUGAGAGCUUCGGCGCAUCAUCGACCGAUCCUGAUGUUCUCGGAUGGAUUUGAGUAAGAGCAUACGGGGCCGGACCCGAAAGAAGGUGAACUAUGCCUGUAUAGGGUGAAGCCAGAGGAAACUCUGGUGGAGGCUCGCAGCGGUUCUGACGUGCAAAUCGAUCGUCAAAUAUGGGCAUGGGGGCGAAAGACUAAUCGAACCUUCUAGUAGCUGGUUUCCGCCGAAGUUUCCCUCAGGAUAGCAGUGUUGAACUCAGUUUUAUGAGGUAAAGCGAAUGAUUAGGGACUCGGGGGCGCUAUUUAGCCUUCAUCCAUUCUCAAACUUUAAAUAUGUAAGAAGCCCUUGUUGCUUAAUUGAACGUGGGCAUUCGAAUGUAUCAAC
rnacentral:rRNA from 1 species